AAAAUGUUGAGACAUUUAUGAGUGACCAACAGUAAGAGGAUUCCUAACAUUGAACAAGACUUCUUCAGGGUUGGUCCUAUUGUUCAUGGGAUUUGGUCCCAGCAAUGUAAUCUGAUUCUGCAAAUAUAAACUUCAGAAUAUCACAGUGGAGCACCUGAUUUGUGGGCAGGUAGAUGCCUCACAUGAAUCACAAACACUUGAUUUCUCCUAGCAAUGAUACACAAGCAGCAGUUACAGCAAGAACAUAGAGAGAGUCAGAACAUCAGCAAUCCUUUAAACUUCAGUGAAAAAGAUUAUCAACCAGACCAAUUUUCACUGUGCUGAAAAAUAUUGCGAAAUAAUAUUCAUUGGGUAAAUAAUGAAGAUGCAUCCUGACUAUAUAUUAUCAUAGAUCUUUACAGUUUCUUUGGUUCUUUGUUAAUAGAUUAGCCAGCAGUUUUUGUAGAUUGUAACAUUGACAUAGCUGCUAUCCCUCGAUCAAGAGGACGUUACUUCCAGAACACCAGUCGGAAAGUGUAACUGUGGAAUAUAAAUUUGUUCGUUUUUAUUGAAAUUGCCUAAAGCAGCCCGUAAUAUCAUUGAGGGCACUUCAUCAGGUUUAGACAAAAAUAGUUUAAUUUCAUGGCUUCAAGUUCAAAUGUAAUCCAAAUGAUGAGAAUGUGUCCAAUGUCUGUUAAAGAUCUAUUGUGAAAUGCAUUCAGACAAUGUUUAUAUACUUCAAAUGAGCUUUAGUCAGAUGCACAUAUCUGCCUAUACAAACUUUUUAUGAGUGAGAAUUUAUGGUUAAGACAGGGUAUAAGAAUUCCACAGUAUUGGAGUCCUUAAGUAUGAAUAUCAACUGUGUUCCCAGUCGAAAGCAAUGCUCACAGGAAGCUAGCUCAAAAUUCAAGACUACAGUAUCAUUGCCCUCAUUCUAACCAGUACUCCCUUUGAAUUGAAAUUCCCCACUGGAAGUCAUGGAUUAGAGAAUUAUUCUUUUAGAACUGGAUUACUCAAUUCUUUCACAAUGACUCCUGCGAGAGGAAAUCUUAUUGUCUAUAAUUUCAAAGUAAUAUUUCUACAUUCUGUGCUCAUAGAGGUGUAUGUUUAUUGGUUAAAAAUGCACAUAGUAGCAAUAAUCUGUUUAAGGUACUUACUAUAGUCUUCUUGUCCCAACUCAGUUAAUUCAAAAUGAUACUUAAAGACUUAGAAGCAGGAGUAGUCCAUUUAGGCUAUCGAGCCUGCCACUCAAUAUGAUCAUGGUUGAUCAUCCACUUCAAAACUUUUAUUUCCACAUGAUAUCCAUAUGUUUUCUGAUAUUAGUAUUUAGAAAUCUGCUGUUUUGUACAAAACAAAAUUCAAUGAUUAAGCUUCCACAGUCCUCUGUAGUCAAGAAUUCAAAGUAUUUCCAACAUUCUGAGUAAAUAAAAAUCUCCUCAUCUUAGUCACAAGUGUUUUGCCUCUUAUUUCAAAAUGAUACCCCCUUGUUUUAGUCUACCCAAUUUGGGGAAACAUCUUAUCUGUAUCUACCCUG